ensembl:processed_transcript B630019A10Rik RIKEN cDNA B630019A10 gene
GAGCAUCAUAGGAGCACAUGGGCACUGAGCUAAGGACACCUGCUGAUACAACUGAUGCUCAUAGGUCAGAGUUGGUAUUGUUUGUCAUUGGACUGGCAAUGAAGACAGAAGCAGAGCAAAUGUUGCUGGAGAAAUCAGAAACCAAGAAAAAAAAAAAAGAAGGAGAAAAAGUUACUUCAAAGUUGACUUUUGUGUGCAUGAAUGGCUGUGUACCUUGUGCAUGCAGUGCCCUGGAGGCCAGAAGACAUUGGAGUCCCCUGGAACUGAAGUUGGAGGUGCUUGUGAGCCAUCAGAAGAACCCAUGUCUUCUGCAUAAAGGACAACACUUUUAAGCAUUGCACCAUCUCUCCAGCCCACUCAAAGUUGACUUUUAAAAUAAACUUUAUUAUUAUAUUAAUAAAAAAUCAUGUACUGAAGUUAACUAGACCCAAAGUCUACACAUCACAAUGAACAAGAGGUUUAAGUGGAACAUAAAAAUGAAUGACUAAAAAUCCAUAAUACCAUGAGGCCUUAGGGAAUGGAAGGAAGCAAGUUUGAAAUAAAUUACUAGCAGGCACAAACCAUCGCUCUUCCUCUCCCCUGAAAACAUUAAUGAAUUUCAAAGACGUUUCUAGAACCCACAUAUUCUCUUACACAAAGCCUUAACCACCAAUGUGGGUUUUAUUCUGACAGCGGUUCUCAGGGCAGUAAGUAGACAGCAGAUUGCUUCCACUGUAGAAGUCCCUCCAAGGAGAGCAGAUCUCCAACUCUUUUAAAGAGAAUUUACUACAAGCAUCUUAGAGUCCUCGAAAGUCCAGAGGGCCUGUGUUUUCUGCCAUUGCUGGUCAGAAGGCCUUACUGAUGAAAGAGCCACUUUGGAAAGCUACCAGAUGGUGAUGCCCCUGCAGUUUUUCUGGGAAUAUCCCUACAUGUCUAUUUAUCUGUUCUAGACCCCCCCCCCCAGGGCUUCUUUUUAGGUUUGCCACAGUGUGUGGGUAUUAUCAAUGUGGCAAGUUCAAAACCCAGAGUAAACCCCNNNNNNNNNNNNCCCCCCCCCCCCCCCCCCCAUUGACUGGUUAGAGUUCUAGAAAAUAGAACUUAAGAGUAGAUGCUGUAUCCCAUUUUAAAAGAGUCUCUUUCCUAUUGUAUGGUUCUUAGUUCUUAAAUUGAGUGGAAACAAGAGGGAGGUUGAAAGAAAGGAUUGAGGCUUUCAAUGAACGUGAGGGAUACUGAGAUUUCUCAAGGGCCUGGGUGACUUAAUUUCCUCAUCCACAAGUGGGUUUAACACCUUACUGUGUAUAACACUGAAACCAGCACUGUGUCUUUGGUGAUUCUUGUCUAGAUGCCUUUUCUUCAUUUCCUGUGUCAGCGUCACAGUUCAGGUGCUUAAGCGAUCUCCACUGUCUGUCAGCUCCCAAGUCAGUCUGAGAUUCUCACUUAAAGUCCUCGCUCCUGUUUCCAUCUUCAAGAACCGCGACCGAAGAAUCUACCUAAAGCACAAGGAUGCACUGUGAGCCAUGCAUUAAAAUCGUUUAAUGGCCUCUUAAUGUAGAACAAAAUCUUCGACUUUCAGUUAGCACCCUUUCAGAAACAGUCACCCGGGGUCUGCUUUCAUUGGCUCACAGCAGAGUGCACUAUUAUGAGCAUGCUCAGUAGGCUAGACUCUACGUUACUUGCUCCACAUAAAUCAUUUCGUGUAAACAUGAUCCUUAGUGCUGUCUUCUAGCUCUCCAUGUUGCAGAAGAGGAAAGAAUGGCCCAGAAAGACUGUGGAACUCACCCAAGAACAAAUAGCUUCUUGGCCACAGAACUGAAUUCACUGUCUGGCACUUUCUGAUUUGGGUCUCUGGCUCCAGAGCAGCUGGGGGAGGGUGAGCAGCUAGGGGCUCAGAAUCAAAGGAUGGAGGAAGACAAUCUGAAAGACAGGUGCUGGGGAGGAGGCGGCAAUCUUUUCUUUCCCAGGUUGGUGGUGGGAAGCGGCUAUCUGGACUUGAAGAGAACGCUCUGGUCCUGGCUCCAGCAAUCUUACUGUAGAGGCUAUUUUGCUACACAGAAAACCCAGACCAGCAAUUUUCUGCGUUCUUGGAGCUCUAUUUGAUUCCUCUCCCAGCUCAGAGGUGGAUAUUUGGGAUGUGAUUACUGCCUCAGAGUAGUCAAAUCUCUUCUCUAGGAUAGAAAGGACCGAAGGAGCGGCCAGAUGGUGGCUUCCAGUUCUCUUACAGAGGAAAGUUUUCAGUCUUUCGGAAGUGGUCUGUGGGUAAUCAGAGAUGGUCAGACUGCCAGACUGCUUCUUCAACAAGAUGUUUCCUCCUGACUUCUCCAGCAGCCGUAUCCUAAGCCCAGUGGAAGGAAGGUGCCCGGCUGUCUUUACCUUUGUAACCGGGUCCUGCCUGCCUGCGUACCUACUGUGAGAGUUCCAGGUCGCAGGACUCCAGAACAUCU